rnacentral:lncRNA from 1 species
CUUGUCCUUUUCUUGCUGGUUUUCUGUCUCUACUUCUAUUCUCAAGCCAUGGGGAAGGAUUUUCAACAAGGUACUUGAAUGUACUUGAAGGAUUGCUGGACUGAUGCUGCAGUAGACAUCAGGAGGCUGACAUGCAAAUCUUUAUCUUGGCUCCAUUAACUGGAAUGAUGAGAGACACUGCCACCCAGAGCCAGAUGGGGUGUCCAGUGGUAUCUGGGAAGUCUUCCUCUGGGCUGGCAGGUAUGGAAGACCUGGAAUUCUUCUCAAGUGCUUCUCAGUGACCAGAUGGGAUACCCUUAUGCUUCUGAAUUGACAUCAAUCAACUGAGUAUGGGUUUGCUCAAAAUGCGUUAGCAAGAUAGAUAGCAUUGUUCUUCAGAAGCCACUGUGUUCCAUCAGAAGACAACAACAACAACAAAAGAGAAUGCUUUCAAGGCUGUGAAGGCUAGCACUGGAAAGCUAGAGAAUGCUAGAGUUAAGAAUCCACUGUGGGUUUUAAAAACCUGUGCUUUCUCC